AGUAGGGCUUGUGUAAAAGAUUGAAUGCAGCGGAAGUAUUCAUUCGUACCUUAUGCGGAAGCGACUGGCACUAGAAUACGAUGAGUUUGGAUUGUAGAGCUUGAUUCACGUGUUCUCGGAUGGUCGACAAAGGUUUCCUAACGCUCCAAACCCACGGUUUAUCGAACUACGAACGAGCGCGAUUUCUAAUCCGCUGUUCAAGACUGUUUAGAACAAGAGGUUAAUAGAGAAUGUGACACUACAACAGAAUUAGAUUAUAGGGACACAUAUUUGGGACACUUUUGAGUAAGUGUCCCAUUUAUUCUAAAACUUAAAAAAAUAUCUACUAAUACCUAAAUAUAAAGCCCAAUCCAACCAAAAAUAAAAGAUUACUCUACUCAACCCACCACACCCAGUCCAUUUGGCCCGAUUACAAACAGAAAGAAAAAAAAAGAAAAGAAAAAUCAAUUAUCAUCUUUUCUUCUCUCUUCACUCAAUCCACUGAAAUUCUAGACGAAAAGCCUUUCCUGUCGUCCUCCUCCGCCACCGCAGCCAACGAGAUAGAGUUUCGGCGGUUGCUAAAUGUUUAAAUAAGUGUUGGUAAAUUAGCAGCACUCUUUUAGGUUAUAGCGACACUCUUUAACUGUCACUAUAUACCUAGCGACCCCACAUAUAGCAACACUUUUUAAAAGUGUCGGUAAUUUUAGCUGCCGCACUUUUUUGACAUGUACCUACAUUUAAAAGUGUCGCUAUAGACCGUUUUUGUUGUAGUGUGACUUCUCUCUUUCACAAGACGGCUCAUGAAUAAU
rnacentral:lncRNA from 1 species